rnacentral:rRNA from 1 species
GAUGAACGCUAGCGGCAGGCUUAAUACAUGCAAGUCGAACGGUAAGUAGUGUAGCAAUACAUUACCAAGAGUGACGUACGGGUGCGUAACACGUAUGCAACCUACCUUGUACAGGAGUAUAGCUCGGGGAAACUCGAAUUAACCCUCCAUAAGAUCGUGGUGUGGCAUCACACAGCGAUAAAAACUCAGGUGGUACAAGCUGGGCAUGCGUCUGAUUAGUUAGNGGGCGGGGGUAACGGCCCACCAAGACGAUGAUCAGGUAGGGGAACUGAGAGGUUGAUCCCCCACACUGGCACUGAGAUACGGGCCAGACUCCUACGGGAGGCAGCAGUAGGGAAUAUUGGUCAAUGGAUGCAAGUCUGAACCAGCCAUGCCG